rnacentral:lncRNA from 1 species
UGGAUUUGGUCAUAAUGUUUUAAAUAUGAUAGACAUGAAAGAGAUUUGUGACAAUUUAGGAAGAGCUUUAUUUUAAAGUCUGCCUUACCUAAUUUAUUUAAAGAUUGAUUUUUUUACUUGUUUGAAUGGCAUUUAUAGAGAGAGGAGGGAGAAACAAUGAGAGAGAGAAAUAAUGAGAGAGAGAGAGAGAAUCUUCCAUCCACUGGCUCACUUCCCAAAUGGCUGCAAGGGCCAGGGCAGAGUCAGGCCAAAGCCAGGAGCCAGGAGCUUCUUUUGGGUUUCCCAAGUGAGUGCAGGGACCCAAGCACUUGGGCCUUCCUCUGCUGCUUUCCCAUACACAUUAGGGAGCUGGAUAGGAAGCGGAGCAGCCAGGACUCGAACCAGCACCCAUAUGGGAUACUGGCAUUGCAGGAGGCUUUACCCACUAUGCCACAAUGCUGGACCCCAUAUUAUCUUUUAAUUCCAUUUCCCUUUAACUUUUUCAAGUACCUUGAAGCCAAGAACCUGGAGCUUCUUCCAGGUCUCCCACCUGGGUGCAGGGGCACAAGCACCUGUGUCAUCUUCAGCUGCUUUCACAGGUGCAUUAGCAGGGAGCUUGUGUGGUGGAAUGAGAAGGUCCAUGCCAAGAUGGCUGCUAGCAAGCAAGUGUCAGUUACUCAGGAAUGGCUUCGAAACCCACCUGGCAAUGGAGCCUGCCUGGCAACAGGCUGUGAUUGCCUACGGCAUAAACUGCCUCUUGACUGGAUUGGCUGCCUUGGCUAUAUAAGCUGCUGUACCAACAGAAAUAAACGAGUCUGUGGCCUGCUUUCACCCAACUCCUGGGGUCUGUGUGAUGACUCCGUGCCUCUUGCCCCUACCACACUCCUCCUCUCAGAAUGAAUCCAUUUCAACAACCUUGAUUGAAAGUUUAAUAACUGGUCUCAAAUUGGCAUUCUUAUGGGAUGCUAGCAUUAACGGUAGAAGCCACAAUGCCACCCUCUUACUUAAUUUUUUUUAAAAAGAUUCUAC